GACGAACGCUGGCGGCGUGCCUAAUACAUGCAAGUAGGACGCAGUUGCGAACGGGUGAGUAACGCGUAGGUAACUACCUAUUAGAGGGGGAUAAAUAUUGGAAACGAUAGCUAAUACCGCAUACUAGUAGAUGGACCUGCGUUGUAUUAGCUAGUAGGUAGGGUAAUGGCCUACCUAGGCAACGAUCCAUAGCCGAACUGUGAGGUAGAGUGGCCACACUGGGACUGGGACACGCCCCAGACUCCUACGGUAGGCAGCAGUAGGGAAUCUUCUGCAAUGGGGGGAACCCUGACCGAGCAACGCCGCGUGAGUGAAGAAGGUUUUCGGAUCGUAAAGCUCUGUUGUUAAAGAAGCGGUACUUAACCAGAAAGGGACUGCUAACUACGUGCCAGCCGCCGCGGUAAUAC
rnacentral:rRNA from 1 species